ACUGCUUUGUGAUUUACAAAGAAUUUCUGGAAUCCCCUGGAUGUUGUCUUUUCCCCCUAUGUCCUCAUGCUUUAUAAACUUCGCCAUGUACUUUAAAGGCCAUAUUAAUACCCUGCUGCAUUAUGGCCUUUGGAAAACAGAUCUGCAUGGAUGGGUGAAGACAAACAUGAAUUCUUGUGCUUGUCCAUAACCUGAAGAGCGUGAAUCACCACCUGUUGAUUCAAAGAUUUGUGUCUUCAUCAGUAUAGGGCUGUAGUUAAUGGAAGCAAAUUCAGAAUAUAUUAAUACCAAGGAAAUCCAAAUAAUUUCUCUAUAGAGGUGUAAAUCUCCCGUACUAGAGCAGAAUUACAUGUCUUUAUCAGAGACUCAUCUGCUUUUACUAUCCAUGUAGACAGAGGUGGGUCUGCGGAUACACAGCACUAAAGUGUGUUUUCCAAAUUACUUUUCAAACAAGCUGACUGAAGAAAUACUAGCAACUGCAGUCCUGGUCUCUGGACAGCCACAAGGAUAGAAAAUACAAUUUUUUUGAUGCUCAAGGACCCACAUAUUAAAAGACCAGGAAACAAUACUGCUGAUUGCCAGUUCCUGCUAGUAUUACAAAAUCAUCUUACAAAUUAAGGAUCUGGCAACUAAAACCUCAGAUUUCUGAAACUGUAACCCCCUUCCAAAUGAAGACCCAUACAUACUAAACUCAAGACAGAAAUAUUAAAGAAAAAGCAUAAUGAUCUUGGUUAUUUAGAAGUAUAUCCAUGCUUCUCUUGGACUAAGGAGCUCAGAACUGGAUAUAUGUGUGGCCUCAGCAGCACUGAGUAGAGAAUAUGCACAGAAAACUUGUCAUGGUAUGAAGUACAUACCCCAGCUUCAUUAAAAUACCAGCAUCAUGGGACAGAAUACAUCCCUGCAUUAUUUCAAGCACUUGAAAUGAAGAUAAAACUUCCACGUGGGGGUUACUCUGCAUCCAUGUGUUCCUCUACAUACACAUCUAUUCUUGUUAUUGU